rnacentral:rRNA from 1 species
UACAGAGGCCUCGAGCGUUAGGCGGAAUCACUGGGCUUAAAGCGUGUGUAGGCGGGUCGUUAAGUGUCUUGUGAAAUCCCCCGGCUCAACCGGGGAAUGGCUGGGCAUACUGGCGAUCUUGAGCAGUCUAGGGGCAGAUGGAACAAGUGGUGGAGCGGUGAAAUGCGUAGAUAUCACUUGGAACGCCAACGGUGAAGACAGUCUGCUGGGGACUUGCUGACGCUGAGACACGAAAGCCAGGGGAGCGAACGGG